GGAAUCAUUAACUCUGCUUAAACAACACUUUAUAAAGGUAUCACUAAUAUAAUGUAUGCAGUACACAGUCAAGGUCAAGCUGCUUAACAUAUGUGUUUGCUCAGGUGUUUUUGACUUUCUACCUGCAAAAGUGAGUAUGUGGACUGGGCUAGCAAGUUUGAUGCUCUAAGGGAUAAUAAAUGGAAUAAUUGGGGGGGAGGACACAAUCCUGGACAUCAAGGCUUCAGAGGAUAUUGAUGAAAACAGAGCAAGAUCAGGAAAUGGAAGAAAAGCGAUAAAGAGUCCUGGAGGAAUUGAUUUAUGAGAAAGAUCAAAAAGAUUUGAAAUGAAGCACUACGCAGAUGCAUGAUACAUCUGGAUUACUCCUCAAGCCAUUGAAGCAGCUCUGCUAAAACUCCUCAACAAUUCAACAAAGAUGAAAUGCUCAAAGAUGAGCAUUGGAGAUUGCAUAAAAUUCUGCAAUACUGUUCUGUGAAACACAGAAGGAAAGGUUAAGAAAAUCCAAUUUGCACGUGGAAAAGGAAGUGGCACUCAAACUUGUUCCACCUGCAGAAGUUGAUUUCUCAGUCCCAGACUGGCCCCAGCAAAAGCACUCAUUUCUGUUUAAUAAGAUUUACCCUCCCUGCAAAGGUUUCUGUUUUCCAGUAAAACAAAGUCAACAGUCACUAUUUUCAUUUGGGGACUUCAGUUUAGAUACUCUGAACUCUGGCCACAAAAAGACUUUGAAAAACCCUACAACUUUGAAUAUGAUUCAGUAGUUGAUGAGAAUGGAAAUGAUACUGCAGAAACAACAGUACUUGGAAGAGCUCAAAAUUCAUCACAGCUCACAAUUUUCUUACCAGAAAGACAGUUCCUUCUGUCAUACAAUGUUGUUGUAACCUGUAAAGGCACUGAAACCAGGAAUCUGGUCAAAGGUGAGUUUCUGAUGGUAUACGCUUCAGGAGAAAUGCUUAUUUAUGCAGGAAGCUUCUGAAUAUGAAAACCUAAGGAUUGGUGGUAUCUAGACCCCUAUAGGAAAACCAGAUUCCUGGAGAAAAUAAUAAUUGGGAAAGAAAAGAAGGGAUUUGUGGUGAUGUAUUUUUAAAGUAGAAAGCUUUGGAACAUUAUACUUUCUUUUUUACUAAAUUUUCAGUACAAUGUAUAAUUAUUUAAUAAUGAAUUGAUUAAUGUGAUAAAAUAUGUCACUAGAUUCUGAUUUUAAACCUUUGCUCUGCUAAGUUUGUAGUGAACUGCAAACAAUUUUGUAAUAGGAAAGUAUGAAAGAGAUAUUGAUUUCAGUUUUAUCCUUAUUUUACAUCUUCUCUAUAAAUAGCAUUUUGCCAUCAAAUUGUUACUCCAUGUUUUAUGGUAUUUUUAUGCUUUAGUUGUAUUACUGUCAUUAUUGUAGAUUUUACAUUUCAGAGAAUAUAGUGUUUUGGAAAGCAACAGAAAUGGCUUUGCCAAUACCAGGCAGUAUCAUAAAAGCUCUGGAAGGUAUGUCAUAGCUUGCUUUGUAGCAAUCAAUACCACAUACUCAGUGUAGAACAUCUGGAAUGGCCACUAGGCUCAGGAUUUGCAUGUUCAUGAUAUUCAAAGGGUUUGAACUGGUGUCAGAAACUUCAGAAAAAUGAACUGUCUGCUUACAGCAAUGAGUGGAUCUCCAGUGAGAAACUUGGUUUGUUAAUAUACACAUCCCUUUCAGAUGUCUUUAUUUGGACAACUCUUUUUUUUUCUUUGCAAUUUGCAAUAUUUUUAAAUCAAAAAGGAGAGUAAUGGAUUAAACUUGUUUUUUUUUUUCUAGUAUUUUGAAGGGAAAAAGUGAUGACUACUGUAAAAGAAUAUAUUUUUUUCCUUUUAUUUUCUGUUCUCCCUUUAUACAUUAAUGGAUAUUAAUUAUAGUUUGAUGGAUCUCUGAAAUACUUAACCUUCUGGAAGAGUAUAAAAAUAAACCUUUUGUCUAUUAUAGUCUACUACAGGGAAAAAGAAAAAAAAAGAAAAAAAAGAAAAAAAAAAGAAGCAUUCUCCUUUUCAGUCCUGUGUUUAAAAAUGUAAUAUCAAUGGGAUGUGUGUAGGCAGAUUAAGAUUCCUUUUCACAUUCUCUUACACCAUGAAAUUUAAUUUGAUGUGAGUAAAUGUUGCUAAGAAGGCAGCUUUUGUGAUCUCACUAAUUAAGUGUAAGAAAUCUGAUCCUGAUUGCAUUGAUGAUAGUGAAUAACAUCAUUUAGUUUAGAUCCAGAUGGGACCCAUGGUUUAAUUAAUGUUGCAAGCAGCCAUAGGAUUGAACAGAGGUGUUGAAAAGAGUUUACUCUAACUUUGGUGAUACAAAGUUUGCCUCAGAAAAGCAAAUUGCAAAAAUGUGUAUUUUGGAAAAAAUGCAGAAGGAAAAGUCAAAAUAUGCUGUACUCUACCUUUAAAAAAGAAAUCUAAGUUACUCCAGAAAUCUACUACUGUUCCUUUCCUUAAAUGACUAUUCACUUCUCUGAUACUCCUCGCACUCCUUUCUUAGAUAAAUGAAAAUAAGUUUCUUUCAGAUGUCUCCUAUUUUUUUUAGCUCAUUCCUAUUAGUCAUAGCAACAUCAGUCUCAAAGGACUAAUAUCAGAAAAAUCUAUUUGUACUAGAGUCUACUUUAUAACAUGUGCUUUCAAAAACUUCCUAAUAGCAGCCAUUGUAAAAUCUGUAUAACACCUGGUACAGCUUUAUUUUCCCUUUAGAAGGACCAGAAGAACUGGAAUUGAAGAUCACCUGUUUAUUUGUCUACUAUCUUUGGGUUUGACCCAUUCCAUGAAAAACCUUCCAUUAUAUUUAUCUGAGUUUGAAAAAAAAAAAAAAAAAAAAAGGUUUAUUUUUCCUGUUUUCAUCAGGCAACAUUUGUAUCUUAGUAAGUAAGAGUCUCCUUGGUCAAGCUCCCUCCACACAUGCAUCGAAAUAUCUGGUAUCAAUUUUGAUCCCUUCUAUUUAUGUAAAAUUUAUUCUAUCAGAAGAAUGAUGAGAAAAGCCUUACUGUGAUGAUCAGAAGAGGGUUGUUUGUUCUUGGGAAAAAUUAAGAGGCCUAUUAAAGAAUAGAAUGAGAGGAUUUGUUAUUACUUUUUACAAAUAUACCAGAACAAACAUGCGAGUUAAAAUAAAUACCUUGAAGAAUGAUAAACAAAUUGAUAGUUUAGUGACUCAGUUCUACUAAGUACCUAUUAUAUCUUUGAUUCAAACUGCAAAACUUCUAUUUUUCUGUUAAUUAAGGUUCCAGACUCAUUCUAAAUUCAGAUGAAAAUUGGAUUGCAACCUCAGACCUGACUCAUGACCUUUUUCUAUAAAAAAAUCUUGUAAGGACUCAGUCAAACACUAUUAGUUAUAACAUAUUUUAUGUUUUAUUUUGUUACUAAACAUACUAAAUUAUAAAUCAAAAAAAUUAUUAUUUUUCCGGCAUAUGUGUUUUGUCCUUUUCUCCUACACAUUCAUCAACAUUAAAAAGAAAUUCUGUGUUUCUAAAAUAGGCAAUGGACAUGUUGUUCACUCUGAAAAUAAAAACAUAUGCAACAAGUACUAUGAAGGUAUUUUUCAAAUGAAAUAGAAACCAUACGAGAAUGCUAUAGCAAUGAUAUGUUCCAAACAACAAACUCCUGUGAAUCCUUGUAGAAUGCAAACUCAUAGAAUGUGCUGUGUCAAACAGUCAAAUAAAACUGGCAUUCUGAUAUUUUUCUAACUUUCCAAUUUUCACACUUUUUAAUAGCAAUGCAACUAUUCGUGCAUAUAAGAUUAUUAUAUUUAUUAUUGAGUGCAGUGGUAAUUGAUAUUACUGAACUGUUAGUGGAACAUUUAUUUAUCCACUGAUAACGUCUCAGUUAAAGACCUACACACAAAAUAAAUGGGAUAGUUACCAUCAAUAGUUACAAUGAUGGGGACUUAAUCUGUUACCUGUACCAAAAAAAAAAAAAAAAAAGUAAUAAAAAGCAGUAAAAAGCUCUGUCACCAUACAUGUUGACUGCAUCCAAACUUAGUAUUAACUGUAAAAAUAUUUUAUGGUAUGUAUGGGCAUCACUUUCAAUAAAAAAAGGCUGUGAACACAAUUUUAAAUUGCUGGCUAACAGCCAGCCAACUCUUUUUUUCAGUGCAGCUUCAUCACACUACGGCUGUUCCUUGAACGUUCUUCAAAGUGUCACAGAAUGUGAUUUACCCCUGCCAUAUUUGAUUUUGAAUGUAUGGCCCUGUAGAAGUUAUGUUGAGUCAGAUGCAUUGAAGGAUCACUUCUUUAAACUUGGAAAGAUACAGAGAAAAUAUUGAGCUACUAAAUAUCACAAUUAAGCAGGAAAUACACAUGCAACUAGAAUACCUAAAUUUAUGUACCAAUUACAAGCAGUGUUUGCAUGCUUAAUUGGCUUUCCUCAAAGGCUUACCUACCUCUUUUUAUGCUCCCAAUUAUGCAGACAAUUACUAUUAUUAGGCAAGCAGUACAGAUGUAUCUGUCAGAAAAUUCUUGUAAAUCUCAGAAAGUAGUUUUGAAGUGGUAGACUUUUUACUUCCAGUCUCAGACAGGAGGCUCUGAAGGUUUGGAAGAAUAAAUAUCCUCUCCUAUGUCAUGUGUCUGUUAUGGAAUUUGGGAUCUUCAAAUA